rnacentral:tRNA from 1 species
UCCCUGGUGGCUCAGACGGUAAAAGAAUCUGCCUGUAAUGCAGGAGACCUGGGUUCGAUUCCUGAGUGGGGAA